GAGAGGAGCUUGCUUUUCUUAGCUUAGUGGCGAACGGGUGAGUAACGCGUGAGUAACCUGCCCUGGAGUGGGGGACAACAGUUGGAAACGACUGCUAAUACCGCAUAAGCCCACGGAUCCGCAUGGAUCUGCGGGAAAAGGAUUUAUUCGCUUCAGGAUGGACUCGCGUCCAAUUAGCUAGUUGGUGAGGUAACGGCCCACCAAGGCGACGAUUGGUAGCCGGACUGAGAGGUUGAACGGCCACAUUGGGACUGAGACACGGCCCAGACUCCUACGGGAGGCAGCAGUGGGGGAUAUUGCACAAUGGGGGAAACCCUGAUGCAGCGACGCCGCGUGGAGGAAGAAGGUUUUCGGAUUGUAAACUCCUGUCGUUAGGGACGAUAAUGACGGUACCUAACAAGAAAGCACCGGCUAACUACGUGCCAGCAGCCGCGGUAAAACGUAGGGUGCAAGCGUUGUCCGGAAUUACUGGGUGUAAAGGGAGCGCAGGCGGACCGGCAAGUUGGAAGUGAAAACUAUGGGCUCAACCCAUAAAUUGCUUUCAAAACUGCUGGCCUUGAGUAGUGCAGAGGUAGGUGGAAUUCCCGGUGUASCGGUGGAAUGCGUAGAUAUCGGGAGGAACACCAGUGGCGAAGGCGACCUACUGGGCACCGACUGACGCUGAGGCUCGAAAGCAUGGGUAGCAAACAGGAUUAGAUACCCUGGUAGUCCAUGCCGUAAACGAUGA
rnacentral:rRNA from 1 species